rnacentral:rRNA from 1 species
AGAGUUUGAUCCUGGCUCAGGACGAACGCUGGCGGCGUGCCUAAUACAUGCAAGUCGAACGGUCUUUUCUAUGGAAGCUUGCUUCCACUGAGAAGAUAGUGGCGAACGGGUGAGUAACACGUGGGUAACCUGCCCAUAAGAGGGGGAUAACAUCCGGAAACGGGUGCUAAUACCGCAUAGUUUUCUUGAUCGCAUGAUCGAGAAAGGAAGGACGGCCUUUGUGCUGUCGCUUAUGGAUGGACCCGCGGCGUAUUAGUUAGUUGGUGAGGUAAUGGCUCACCAAGACGAUGAUACGUAGCCGACCUGAGAGGGUGAUCGGCCACAUUGGGACUGAGACACGGCCCAAACUCCUACGGGAGGCAGCAGUAGGGAAUCUUCCGCAAUGGACGAAAGUCUGACGGAGCAACGCCGCGUGAGUGAAGAAGGUUUUCGGAUCGUAAAACUCUGUUGCCAGAGAAGAACAAGUCGGAGAGUAACUGCUCCGGCCUUGACGGUAUCUGACCAGAAAGCCACGGCUAACUACGUGCCAGCAGCCGCGGUAAUACGUAGGUGGCAAGCGUUGUCCGGAUUUAUUGGGCGUAAAGCGAGCGCAGGCGGUUCCUUAAGUCUGAUGUGAAAGCCCACGGCUCAACCGUGGAAGGUCAUUGGAAACUGGGGAACUUGAGUGCAGAAGAGGAGAGUGGAAUUCCAUGUGUAGCGGUGAAAUGCGUAGAUAUAUGGAGGAACACCAGUGGCGAACGCGACUCUCUGGUCUGUAACUGACGCUGAGGCUCGAAAGCGUGGGGAGCAAACAGGAUUAGAUACCCUGGUAGUCCACGCCGUAACGAUGAGUGCUAAGUGUUGGAGGGUUUCCACCCUUCAGUGCUGCAGCUAACGCAUUAAGCACUCCGCCUGGGAGUACGGCCGCAAGGCUGAAACUCAAGGAAUUGACGGGACCCGCACAGCGGUKGAGCAUGUGGUUUAAUUCGAAGCAACGCGAGAACCUUACCAGGUCUUGAMAUCUUUUGACA